AUUGAACGCUGGCGGCAGGCCUAACACAUGCAAGUCGAACGAGUGGCGGACGGGUGAGUAAUGUCUGGGAAACUGCCUGAUGGAUGGGGAUAACUACUGGAAACGGUAGCUAAUACCGCAUACCAUCGGAUGUGCCCAGAUGGGAUUAGCUAGUAGGUGGGGUAAAGGCUCACCUGGGCGACGAUCCCUACCUGGUCUGAGAGGAGGACCAGCAACACUGGAACUGAGAAACGGUCCAGACUCCUACGUGAGGCAGAAGUGGGGAAUAUUGCACAAUGGGAGAAAGCCUGAUGCAGCCAGGCCGCGUGUAUGAAGAAGGCCUUCGGGUUGUAAAGUACUUUCAGCGGGGAGGCGUUACCCGCAGAAGAAGCACCGGCUAACUCCGUGCCAGCAGCCGCGGUAAUAC
rnacentral:rRNA from 1 species